rnacentral:snRNA from 1 species
GGAUGUGAGGGUGAUCUGGCAGAGACAUCUGUCACCCCAUUGAUCUCCAGGGUUGAUUCGGCUGAUCUGGCUGGCUAGGCGGGUGUCCCCUUCCUCCCUCACCGCUCCAUGUGUGUUUUUCACCCCUGAAAUUCAUCCUCUAAUUUUGACUUCUUAUUUCAUUGUCAAAUGUCACUUUCCAUUUAGAAACUUGCUCCCUACCAGGCUGAAUCCUGAGUUCUGAAUCUGUGCUAGUUAAUAUUAAGUUAAUAUUAGUUAAUUAAUUAGUUAAUAUUAGUUAAUAUUAAGGUCCAAAUGUGCUCCCCAUAGUCCUUUCUACUUGAAUUGGUCUGUACG